rnacentral:rRNA from 1 species
AAUGAACGCUGGCGGCAUGCCUAACACAUGCAAGUCGAACGAGACCUUCGGGUCUAGUGGCGCACGGGUGCGUAACGCGUGGGAAUCUGCCCUUGGGUUCGGAAUAACAGUGAGAAAUUACUGCUAAUACCGAAUGAUGACGUAAGUCCAAAGAUUUAUCGCCCAGGGAUGAGCCCGCGUAGGAUUAGCUAGUUGGUGAGGUAAAAGCUCACCAAGGCGACGACCUUAGCUGGUCUGAGAGGAUGAUCAGCCACACUGGGACUGAGACACGGCCCAGACUCCUACGGGAGGCAGCAGUGGGGAAUAUUGGACAAUGGCGAACGCCUGAUCCAGCAAUGCCGCGUGAGUGAUGAAGGCCUUAGGGUUGUAAAGCUCUUUACCCGGGAUGAUAAUGACAGUACCGGGAGAAUAAGCUCCGGCUAACUCCGUGCCAGC